UACGGAGGGGCUAGCGUUGUUCGGAAUUACUGGGCGUAAAGCGCACGUAGGCGGCUUUGUAAGUUAGAGGUGAAAGCCCGGGGCCCAACUCCGGAAUUGCCUUUAAGACUGCAUCGCUAGAAUUGUGGAGAGGUAAGUGGAAUUCCGAGUGUAGAGGUGAAAUUCGUAGAUAUUGGGAAGAACACCGGUGGCGAAGGCGGCUAUCUGGCCCGUAAUUGACGCGUGAGG
rnacentral:rRNA from 1 species